CUCUCUGUGCCGAGAUACUGGAGGCCCAGGCUCACGAGCUUGAAUAAAUUCUCUCUCCUGAUUUUGCAUUGGACCCUGGCUCCUUGGUGGUUCUUGGGGACAUUAUGAUCUGGGCACAACAUUUGGGGGCUCAUCCCUGGAUCCCCCAAACCCCACGGACCCCGUCCAGGAGAGUUUGCAAGAAUACUGGAAGAAAUCAUUGCCCUGUACAAUAGCGGGCCCACACCUGAGCCCCACGCAUGUCAGCCUGGCAACUGGGUGUAUGUAAAAUGCCACCAACACAAGACCCUCAAACCACGGUGGAAAGGACCCUACAUUGUUGUCCCCUCGACAUCCACCACACUCAAAGUAGACGGUAUCACGUCGUGGGUCCACUACACCCAUGCCUGCCUAGCUGAUCCAUUUGCUGCCAAAGAAGACUACACCCCAGAGUGGAAACUCCAAUGAGACCCUGACAAUCUGUUGAAGCUCAAACUGCGAAGAUGCCAGAAUCCUUGAUGUCACUUUCUUUCCCCUGCGUCCCCGAUCAGAGGCUCCAAAGAACACACAACAUCAUCUGGCGCAGCGAGCAGGGUCCACGGCUGGACCGAGGACCUGGUCAAAUUGUUCGUGGAGCAUCUGUUCAACCGAUCUUGAGGAGACAAUGAAUUCUGGUUCCCAGACAAACACAUCAAACUGCGACAUGACGCCAUGCUCUCGCCAAUGGCGCCCCCAACAGAGAAGGCGAAGAGGAGACAGGAAUCUGACUGUGGGGAUGCUCUGUCUGUCACUAAAAGAGCAGAGAAAACAACUAAUGCCUAGAUCCAGUCAGAGAAUGCAAAGGAAACGCCACUCCUCUCCCCCAAUAACUUGGGGAGGGAUUUCUCAACUAUGCCAGGAAGCAAAAACAACUGUGAUGGUGAGCAAUCAACCAGUGAGUGACCCCUCGAGCCUUGUUUCUUGCAAUGAUAGCCAUAAUUAACACACAGGUAAGUGCACAACAAAAUUAUACUUAUUGGAGUUAUAUUCCUAACCCACCAUUGUUAAGAGGAGUCUCAUGGCUUGAACCCUCUGUUCCUAUCUAUGUGAAUGAGAGUUCAUGGCUCCCUGGACCAUAUGAUGAUAGAGGUCCCUUUAAGCCAGAAGAAGAGGGAACAAUUCUCUCUAAUUAUUCCACUGGAGUCACGGGACCACCUAUAUGUUUAGGCCCAGAACCUCCUUGCUUA